GUGGGGAAUUUUGGACAAUGGGCGCAAGCCUGAUCCAGCCAUGCCGCGUGCAGGAUGAAGGCCUUCGGGUUGUAAACUGCUUUUGUACGGAACGAAAAAGCUCUCUCUAAUACAGGGGGUGAAUGACGGUACCGUAAGAAUAAGCACCGGCUAACUACGUGCCAGCAGCCGCGGUAAUACGUAGGGUGCAAGCGUUAAUCGGAAUUACUGGGCGUAAAGCGUGCGCAGGCGGUUAUGUAAGACAGAGGUGAAAUCCCCGGGCUCAACCUGGGAACUGCCUUUGGGACUGCAUAGCUGGAGUGCGGCAGAGGGGGAUGGAAUUCCGCGUGUAGCAGUGAAAUGCGUAGAUAUGCGGAGGAACACCGAUGGCGAAGGCAAUCCCCUGGGCCUGCACUGACGCUCAUGCACGAAAGCGUGGGGAGCAAACAGGAUUAGAUACCCCGGUAGUCC
rnacentral:rRNA from 1 species